UGGUGUGGCUCAGCAGGUAGAGCGAUUCACUCGUAAUGAAUAGGUCGGGAGUUCGAAUCUCCCCAUCA
rnacentral:tRNA from 1 species